rnacentral:rRNA from 1 species
AUAUAAGCUGUUUCAUUUAAAAUUUAUAUAGAAUUUUAUUUUUUAGUUAAAAAGCUAAAAUAUGAUCAAAAGACGAGAAGACCCUAUAAAUCUUAAUUAUUUAAUAAUUUUUAAUUUAUUUUGGUUUUUUUUGUUAUAAAUUUAUUAAAUAAUUUUAUUGGGGUGAUAUUAAAAUUUAAAUAACUUUUAAUAAUUUUUGUCAUUUAUUUAUGAUUAAGUGAUCCAUUAUUAGUGAUUAAAAAAUUAAGUUACUUUAGGGAUAACAGCGUAAUUUUUUUGGAGAGUUCUUAUCGAUAAAAAAGUUUGCGACCUCGAUGUUGGAUUAAGAUUCAUAUUUAAAUGCAGAAGUUUAAAUAUUAAGUCUGUUCGACUUUUUAUUCUUACAUGAUCUGAGUUCAAACCGGUGUAAGCCAGGUUGGUUUCUAUCUUUGAUUUAAUAAAAUAUUUUAGUACGAAAGGAAUUAAUAUUUAUUUUUAAGAAAUUAUUUUAUGAAUGAAUUUA